rnacentral:rRNA from 1 species
CAUUNCACGUUUUCCGCGCCGUAGCUAACGCAUUAAGUGCCCCGCCUGGGGAGUACGGCCGCAAGGCUAAAACUCAAAGAAAUUGACGGGGGCCCGCACAAGCGGCGGAGCAUGCGGAUUAAUUCGAUGCAACGCGAAGAACCUUACCAAGGCUUGACAUAUACUGGACUGCGUCAGAGAUGGCGUUUCCCUUCGGGGCUGGUAUACAGGUGGUGCAUGGUUGUCGUCAGCUCGUGUCGUGAGAUGUUGGGUUAAGUCCCGCAACGAGCGCAACCCUCGUUCUAUGUUGCCAGCACGUGAUGGUGGGGACUCAUAGGAGACUGCCGGGGUCAACUCGGAGGAAGGUGGGGAUGACGUCAAAUCAUCAUGCCCCUUAUGUCUUGGGCUUCACGCAUGCUACAAUGGCCGGUACAGAGGGUUGCGAUACUGUGAGGUGGAGCUAAUCCCUAAAAGCCGGUCUCAGUUCGGAUUGGGGUCUGCAACUCGACCCCAUGAAGUCGGAGUCGCUAGUAAUCGCAGAUCAGCAACGCUGCGGUGAAUACGUUCCCGGGCCUUGUACACACCGCCCGUCAAGUCACGAAAGUUGGUAACACCCGAAGCCGGUGGCCUAACCCUGGUGG